UGGGCGCGGCUCGCGAGCCGGUCAUCUCUAUAGCAAUGAGGAGCUUCCACCUGUCCUGCCGAGGGACUCGGUCCACCUGAGGUGGGAGGCGGGAGGAGCCCGAGACCCCGAGUCUCGUCGGCCGCCUGCGGGUGAGAAGAUUUGGACUGCCCUUCCCUGGCCCAACUCUGCAGCCACCCACAGUUCUUUCUCAUGACGAGGACGUCCCCACACUCGUCCUCAGAUGGCAGGAAGAUCUCGGGCACUGAGCACAGUCGCAAACCUGUACAGAAACUCGUUUGUAGUACAGAGGGCAAGGUGACACCAGCUUUCCAAAGCAGAGGG